rnacentral:rRNA from 1 species
GACGAACGCUGGCGGCGUGCCUAACACAUGCAAGUCGAACGGAACUGUUUUGAAAGAUUUCUUCGGAAUGAAUUUGAUUUCGUUUAGUGGCGGACGGGUGAGUAACGCGUGAGUAACCUGCCUUCAAGAGGGGAAUAACAUUCUGAAAAGAAUGCUAAUACCGCAUGACAUAUCGGAACCACAUGGUUUUGAUAUCAAAGAUUUUAUCGCUUGAAGAUGGACUCGCGUCCGAUUAGUUAGUUGGUGAGGUAACGGCUCACCAAGACCGCGAUCGGUAGCCGGACUGAGAGGUUGAACGGCCACAUUGGGACUGAGACACGGCCCAGACUCCUACGGGAGGCAGCAGUGGGGGAUAUUGCGCAAUGGGGGCAACCCUGACGCAGCAACGCCGCGUGAAGGAUGAAGGUUUUCGGAUUGUAAACUUCUUUUAUUAAGGACGAAAAAUGACGGUACUUAAUGAAUAAGCUCCGGCUAACUACGUG